GGCAGCUUUCUGGAUCAUUACUGACACUGAGGAACGAAAGCAUGGGUAGCGAAGAGGAUUAGAUACCCUCGUAGUCCAUGCCGUAAACGAUGUGUGUUAGACGUUGGAAAUUUAUUUUCAGUGUCGCAGCGAAAGCGAUAAACACACCGCCUGGGGAGUACGACCGCAAGGUUAAAACUCAAAUGAAUUGACGGGGACCCGCACAAGUAGUGGAGCAUGUGGUUUAAUUCGAAGAUACGCGCAGAACCUUACCAACACUUGACAUGUUCGUCGCGACUCUAAGAGAUUAGAGUUUUCGGUUCGGCCGGACGAAACACAGGUGCUGCAUGGCUGUCGUCAGCUCGUGUCGUGAGAUGUUGGGUUAAGUCCCGCAACGAGCGCAACCCUCACUUUUAGUUGCCAUCAUUAAGUUGGGCACUCUGAAAGAACUGCCAGUGAUAAGCUGGAGGAAGGUGGGGAUGACGUCAAGUCCUCAUGGCCCUUACGUGUUGGGCUACACACGUGCUACAAUGGCAUCUACAACAGGAAGCAAAACGGCAACGUUAAGCAAAUCCCGAAAAGAUGCCUCAGUUCGGAUUGCACUCUGCAACUCGAGUGCAUGAAGCUGGAAUUACUAGUAAUCGUGGAUCAGCGUGCCACGGUGAAUGCGUUCCCGGGUCUUGUACACACCGCCCGUCACACCAUGGAAGCUGGUUAUACCCGAAGUCAUUACUCUAACCGUUUGGGGGAGGGUGCCUAAGGUAGAAUUAGUGACUAGGGUGAAGUCGUAACAAGGUAACCGUA
rnacentral:rRNA from 1 species